CCUACGGGAGGCAGCAGUAAGGAAUAUUGGACAAUGCUCGCAAGAGUGAUCCAGCCAUGCCGCGUGCAGGAAGAAUGCCCUAUGGGUAGUAAACUGCUUUUGAACUAGAGAAAACCCCAGUACGUGUACUGGGCUGAUAGUAUAGUUAGAAUAAGCAUCGGCUAACUUCGUGCCAGCAGCCGCGGUAAGACGAAGGAUGCAAGCGUUAUCCGGAUUCAUUGGGUUUAAAGGGAGCGUAGGUGGACUGAUAAGUCAGUGGUGAAAUCUCCGAGCUUAACUCGGAAAUUGCCAUUGAUACUGUUGGUCUUGAGUACAGUUGCUGUGGGCGGAAUAUGACAUGUAGUGGUGAAAUACAUAGAGAUGUCAUAGAACACCGAUUGCGAAGGCAGCUCACAAAGCUGUAACUGACACUGAGGCUCGAAAGUGCGGGGAUCAAACAGGAUUAGAUACCCUGGUAGUCCGCACCGUAAACGAUGAUUACUCGCUGCUAGGGGGCAACCUUUAGUGGCUUAGCGAAAGCGAUAAGUAAUCCACCUGGGGAGUACGCCGGCAACGGUGAAACUCAAAUGAAUUGACGGCGNGAGAGNGCGAGACGACGACGAGGGAGAGG
rnacentral:rRNA from 1 species